AUGUCUAGCCUGACGACCAUAAGCAGCACCAGCAAGGAGUCGCUGGAGGCGGAGGAGCUCGUCGACACAAGGUUGUCGCUCGUGAUCGGUGCCGGGAGCCAACCGCCGCCGGCGCCAGUGGCAGCGGGUCAUGUUACAAGGCAGCAUGCCAAGAGGGCCAGGGCUGUGCACGGCGGCAGCGACGUCGACGAUGGCGACGACGGAGGGGACGCAGCCGGCCGCGCGAGGAAGAAGCUCCGGCUCACCGCGGAGCAGGCGGCGCUGCUGGAGAAAAGCUUCCGCUCCCACAACGUCCUCUCCCAUGGUGAGAAGCAGGAUCUUGCGGGGCAGCUUGGGUUGAAGCCGAGGCAGGUGGAGGUGUGGUUCCAGAACAGGAGGGCGCGCACCAAGCUCAAGCAGACGGAGCUCGACUGCGAGCUGCUGCGCCGGUGGUGCGAGCGGCUCAGCGACGACAACGCGCGGCUCCGGCGAGAGCUCGCCGAGACACACGCGGUCCUCCUCGUCGGCGGUGCACAGGGCUCGAGGCUCACGAGGUGUCCGUCCUGCAACAGGCUCGCCGGCGGCCGGAGGGCGGCCUAG
rnacentral:rRNA from 1 species